AAAACUAGCUAACCGGCUAUGGGUAACUGUAGCUAGCUACCUGACAGGAGUGCUAGCUAGAUACGUUAGCUCAGUAGGUACAGUAAUAGCUUUAGGGUGGUUGUUUUUUAAGCUCCACUUCAAGAUUUCCACCAAGAACGUUGCCUCUCCGACCAUCACUCUCCCUUGCUUGGGAAAGGGACAUUUUUAAGACGGCCAAGCUGCAGCUGGCAAAGCAGAAGGCCCAGGAUCACCCAGUGGAUGAGGGCUGUCAGGAGAAGAUCCAGGAGAUCAAGCAGGACAUCAUCAAAAAUAAAGAGGCCCCGAGUGAGAUCCUGCAGAACUUUAAAUACGACUAGGAGGAGUCGUAGUGAUGGGGACUCCCUGGAGGCUGCUGCCCAGACAGGGAUUGAUGGACUGCUCUGCUACAACUUUCCUCUUUGUAUUAAUUUGCCUAAGUUAUUGAUCCCUCCCUCACACCACCUGACUGCUGCAGUUUCUUGCAUCCCAGAGUCAUUCCAUACCGUGUGUCUCUGCAUGUGUAUGCCUGUGUGUCCUUAGCAAAAAAAGGCUUUUUUUCUCCU